rnacentral:rRNA from 1 species
GUGGGGAAUAUUGGACAAUGGGCGAAAGCCUGAUCCAACCAUGCCGCGUGUGUGAAGAAGGCCUUCGGGUUGUAAAGCACUUUAAGCGAGGAGGAAGGUUCGUCACCUAAUACGUGACGGAAUUGACGUUACUCGCAGAAUAAGCACCGGCUAACUACGUGCCAGCAGCCGCGGUAAUACGUAGGGUGCGAGCGUUAAUCGGAAUUACUGGGCGUAAAGCGCGCGUAGGUGGUUUUGUAAGUUGGAGGUGAAAGCCCCGGGCUCAACCUGGGAACUGCCUCCAAAACUGCAUGACUAGAGUACGGUAGAGGGUAGUGGAAUUUCCUGUGUAGCGGUGAAAUGCGUAGAUAUAGGAAGGAACACCAGUGGCGAAGGCGACUACCUGGACUGAUACUGACACUGAGGUGCGAAAGCGUGGGGAGCAAACAGGAUUAGAAACCCCAGUAGUCC